CGAUGAGGAAUACAAGGAGGAGAUCCCUACAGAUAAGAGCCCAGGCCCCGGGUACCUUCUGGUUUCAUCUGAAAAAUUGUGAUUAUUGGGCUGCCAUACCUCUAAUAGGGGAUGACUGUACUGGGAGCUUGGAGAAACAUCUCAUAUCUA